rnacentral:lncRNA from 1 species
AUUUCAGGUGUACAGCUUCAGAUUCUUUACCAUUGUUAAGUUGAUACAAGAUUUUGAAUAUAGCUAAAUUUGCUAUACAGUAAAUCCUUAUUUAUCUUUCUAUGUAAUGGUGUAUAUGUAUUAAUCUCAUACUCUUAAUUUAUCCCCUUGAUAACUAUAAGUUUGUUUUCUAUCUGAGUCUAUUUCUAUUUUUUAAAUAAGUUGAUUUAUGUUAUUUUUUAAUAUUCCACAUAUGUCUUAUUUUUGUCUUUUUCUGCCCUUUUUUACUUCCCUUAGUAUGGUAAACUCUAGGGCCAUCCGUGUUCUGCAGAUGGCAAUAUUUCAUUCUUUUCAUGGUUGCAUAAUAUUCCAUUGUGUAUAUAUGGAAUAUAUAUAUUUAUUUAUUUAUUCCAUUGACAUCUUCUGUUCAAUGGACUUCAGACAUAAGGAAAAUCUGGGGCAAUAAAUGAAUGUUGCUUAAGCCAUUAAGCUUGCCUUGAUUUGUUAGGAAACAAUAGAAAACCGACACAAUUAAUACAAAGAAAUACAGAGGUUGAACUGAUUUGAGAAGAGAGUCAAUUUUCAUACAACAAAAGUUAACUGUACUCCUUGGUUUGGCAAAUGUGUUCACAGCUGAUGAAAAGGUUUAGUGUAAUGUGCUGUAGAUGUCUAAUCAGAGAGAAAUGGAAAUCACCAUUCUAUUGAAAGGAUUUUUCGCAGACUCAAGAAUGAUUCACCACCUGAAAAGAUCUUGACCUUUUGACUAUGAGCUGCUGAACCAUUUUCCAUAAGACUUAUUCCAUCAUUGAACAAUAAAGAUGCACAGUGGGAUUUAAAAAAAAAUUAGCCAGAAAUAACUAUGUAAAGUGGGUUUUGUUUGUGUUCUCAAUUGACGUCUGUGGUAAAUGUGAUAAAUAAAAAUAUUGAUUGGGUAUUAUUGUCAAAAUUACAUACUUUUUAAUAUACUUAUAAAUCUUAUAAAUGAACGUUACAAAUUAAAAUUUAGUUGGCAAUGCUGGUGUAUAGGCUGUGUUUAAAUUCAUUUGGCUUGUUUUAAAAUAGAGACUGUGCAGGUAAAAUACGGUUGCCUCAUCCUGGAAAAACCAGUUUCCUUUGCCCCCUUAAAAUCUAACUGCAUGAAUGCCUAAUUUGACAGAUAGGAAUGUAACACAGUUAUGAAUGGAUUUUUCAGAAGUUACUCCAAGGCAGAUUUAAAUUUAGAAUUUUAAUUUCCUUUGACUUUAGUGUUCCUUUUAUUAUAUAGCAUUUUGUGUCUUUUUGAUCCAGCUGUUCUGGUGACACUAUUUAGUUAAAAAUACUUUCUCUUCUCAUUCAGUAACAACAAUUUGCCUGGUUUAUAUAUAAAGUCAUUUGGCACCAUGUAGAUUGAGGCUCUCACAGAAGUCCUUUAUGUGCUAUUAGCCAGUUAUUUGGGAUAAAUUUAUAGCAUUUGACUUACCUUUUCAGAAUUCCAACAUUUUGUUUAAGGCUUUUGAUUGAAGAAUGCCUAACUUGUCUUUCAGCAAGAUUAUAUUAAUUUACAACUUAUAAUUAUCCCAGACACUUAAAAUUUAGCCUGGUAACUAUGUGUUCUUCCUGUUUUUCCUGUGUCAGUAAAAAAAAUCCUGCUGCCUAUUAUCUUGCUUAGUCUUAUUCCCUCCUGUAUAUGUAGUGCUUGACAACUGAAGGGUCCUUAGUAGUAUUUGCAGAAUGGUAGUAAUCAUAAUAAAUGAAUGUAUUAUUGUAAGUAUAAGGAAAAAAUCUGGAAGAAUAUGGGCUGAGCCACUGAUGAUGAUUAACUUGGGUGUGAAAUGUCAUUGUAAGUAGUGGCAUUAGGGACGUGAAAGUAAGUGUUGAUAUUUUAAAUUUCUUCUUAAAGCAUUUCUGUAUUAGUUCCUCUUUUUUUUUUUUUUUUUUCUAUGAGCUCGUUUUGAAAGUUAUCCUUAGGGAAAUAAUGUGGCAAUGGAACAGAAGGGAGAAAACUUCCACAUACUUUAUUCAAGACUUAUUAACAUGCAUAAUCUUAUUAUAAUUUCUACUAACCUUUUGAAAUAGAUAAUAUUCAUCUCCAUCUUGAAGAUGAAAAAGCAGCAGCAGCAGCUUAGCCAGGUUAAAUGACUUGUUCCAAGCCAAAUAGCUAUGCAGGAAGAAAACUAAGUGAACUCAAGUUUGCCAGAUCUAGACUAAUUUGCCAUGGGUCUGGGAGUUUAAUACAGAAACCUAUGUUCUUUCCCCUGUGCUAAGCUGUCUAUCAGGAGGGCGGUGAGCUGACUUCUAAGAUCAAGAUGUCUGUGUACAGAAAAGGGAACUGUUGGCUCCUUUGCAGAAUCCCAGUUCUGAAGUUAAUGAGUUGGAGUGUCUGGGAGAACGGGCUUCCCACAAGGUCACACAACAGGAGUCAGUGAUUUCUGACUCUCUGCAUAUCUAGCACACUUCCUUGCCAGUUCUCUUGGAAGCAGUCUUGUGGUUUCAUUUUAUACUGACAAGGACAAAUUCCAGAAUCUGAUUUCAAGUGAACGAAUGAG